GGAGUAUGUGGUUAAUUCGAAGCAACGCGAAGACCCUUACCAGGUCUUGACAUCCCGAUGACCGUCCUAGAGAUAGGGCUUCUCUUCGGAGCAUCGGAGACAGGUGGUGCAUGGUUGUCGUCAGCUCGUGUCGUGAGAUGUUGGGUUAAGUCCCGCAACGAGCGCAACCCUUAAUCUUAGUUGCCAGCAUUCAGUUGGGCACUCUAGGAUGACUGCCGGUGACAAACCGGAGGAAGGUGGGGAUGACGUCAAAUCAUCAUGCCCCUUAUGACCUGGGCUACACACGUACUACAAUGGCCGGUACAACGGGGAGCGAAGCCGCGAGGUGGAGCGAAUCCUCACAAGCCGGUCUCAGUUCGGAUUGCAGGCUGCAACUCGCCUGCAUGAAGUCGGAAUUGCUAGUAAUCGCGGAUCAGCAUGCCGCGGUGAAUACGUUCCCGGGUCUUGUACGCACCGCCCGUCACACCACGAGAGUUUACAACACCCGAAGUCGGUGGGGUAACCCGCAAGGGGGCCAGCCGCCGAAGGUGGGGUAGAUGAUUGGGGUG
rnacentral:rRNA from 1 species